rnacentral:SRP_RNA from 1 species
CCAUACUAUCCGGGGAGUUAGCGGUGCCUUGUACCUGCAAUCCGCUAUAGCAGGGGUGAUGUCCACUUUGAGGGCUUUGUGGGUGCGGCUGCAUUUAUCAAAGGCUGUUGAUGAAUGGGUCUUACGCAAUUGAAAGCCGUGAACCAUGUCAGGUGGGGAACCAAGCAGCAUUAAGCGGUAUCUUCGAUGUGCCGUGGGGUUGCCUGUUUUGAAGCCGGAGUUAGAUUAACGCGUGUUCAUUCGGUUCGACGGUGGGCGUAUGG